rnacentral:lncRNA from 1 species
GGCUUCGAAUGGACGAUCUAUAUAGGCUGGACAACCUGUGUGGCUGCUCAACAUCAGUGCGAGGUUCGUACCAUAUUUAUCAGUAGUGAAGAUCAUCGACUUAUAAAAAGGUGAUGAGUUUUGAACUCAACCGAUGUGAUCUAAAGCUUGAUUAGAUUCGGGACAUCGAUGUGAUCGAUGCAGUUUUCUAUUUUAUAUCAGAUUUUAUAUAUAA